CCUACGGGAGGCAGCAGUAGGGAAUAUUGGGCAAUGGACGCAAGUCUGACCCAGCCAUGCCGCGUGCAGGAUGAAGGCCUUCUGGGUUGAACUGCUUUUAUCUAGGAAGCGGUACUAGAUGAAUAAGCACCGGCUAACUCCGUGCCAGCAGCCGCGGUAAUACGGAGGGUGCAAGCGUUGUCCGGAUUUAUUGGGUUUAAAGGGUGCGUAGGCGGCCUUAUAAGUCAGUGGUGAAAGCCCAUCGCUCAACGAUGGAACUGCCAUUGAUACUGUAGGGCUUGAGUACAGACGAGGUAGGCGGAAUUGAUGGUGUAGCGGUGAAAUGCAUAGAUACCAUCAAGAACACCGAUUGCGUAGGCAGCUUACUAGCUUAACUGACGCUGAGGCACGAAAGCGUGGGGAGCGAACAGGAUUAGAUACCCUAGUAGUC
rnacentral:rRNA from 1 species